GGCUAUAAUAUUGGCGAAAGACAAUGUCAAAUGACCUCAGACAAGUAAAUCAUCAGCUUCCGAGUGCAUCAUUGACACCCUUCAUCACAACCAUUAAAAGGUGCAGAGUUUUAUAAGGAAGGAAAUGACAGAAAAACAAAUAAAUUCAGCAGUUGGAGUAUUAUUCAGGUAGGUCUUGUAGCUAUUUAAUUCCUUUUCAGAAUGUAGUUUGGAUAAAAUGUAUUGUUUUAUUUU
rnacentral:lncRNA from 1 species